ACAGGUCAUUAAGGAGCAGGUAGGGGUUAGACAGUACAGAGACAAGUCAUCAAGGAGCAGGUAGGGGUUAGACAGUACAGAGACAGGUCAUUAAGGAGCAGGUAGGGGUUAGCAGUACAGAGACAGGUCAUUAAGGAGCAGGUAGGGGUUAGCAGUACAGAGACAGGUCAUCAAGGAGCAGGUAGGGGUUAGACAGUACAGAGACAGGUCAUUAAGGAGCAGGUAGGGGUUAGACAGUACAGAGACAGGUCAUUAAGGAG
ensembl:lncRNA